UUGUUUUACAAGGCAAACACGAUAAACCGGUUAAUAUUUAUUAUUAUCUUGAGGCCAUAAUAAUUUCUUCACUUGCAUAUUGAUGCAAUGUAAGACAAUACAGUGAUACAGGAAGAUUGAAGAUAAUGUAACAUCUGCAAAUAUAAUUCGCGGGAAUUACAUAUAACGCUGGCGCGGCGGUAGAACAGGCGAAAUUAUAAAAGUCUCUCCUCCAAGUUUGAUUUCGUUCUCUUUGGAAUAGAGACUUGGGCCGUGGAGUUCGCAGGCACCUGGUAGUCAGUAUCGGGGACUGGGGCAACGAAUAAUUAUCGCAAUACAGCAACAAAGUUACACUGCAGCGUGAACCAAUUUUUUACAAUUAAUUUAGUUUUAUAUUUAUUAUUACUUUGUAGGUUAAGAAGAUGUAUAACACCUUGCGUCUUACGUUAGUUACUGUUCGAAUCUAUGAAUUUUUUUGACUUCCUAUUUGAUGAUUGUCAAAAACACCAAUGUAUACCAGUCAGUAGAUAUGUUGAUAUUUAAAUACAUAUAAUAAUAUUACAUUAUUCAUGAUUGUUGUGACGAAAUUGAUCUAACGCUUAAAAUUAUUCCGUGGUUUAUCAUGCAUUGUGCAAAAAAAAAUUUGAAAGAAAAAGUAGACUUAGUCGUUUAAGACUUUAAUAAUGUACGAGUAUGUGAAUCACUCUGUAUUUGAGUUGUUGGUAUAAGCGUGCGCUGUGUCUUUGUUAGUUUUUGGAACAUCCGUUAUGCCAAAACAUGUAAAGCUCUAGCUAGCACAAUAUAGUAAUAUUCAAAAACACUUAAAAGUAUAUGUUUUUUACCUGGUCUGUCAUUAUUAAUUUACAUUUGAAUGUUGCAAUUUUUAUGAGUGUAUACGUCCUGUAUUUAACUUAACAUUCCUUAUCAACGCUAUUAGAGUAACUUGUAGACGAUAUUAGAAUCUAAUAACAUAAAGUGAACGAUUAGAUACGGUGUGGCCACACAUGUAUCUGUUAGUUAAGUGUUUCUUGAUGCAUACUUUGCUAAACAACUUUUUUCAUAUUAGAAAUAUAAGUUUAUGAAGUAUUUACA